UGUUUUGAAGUCAUGCUGCUUCUUCAGUUAAUAACUUUUCUCAGCGAAUUUUCACAAACUUACAAUGUUCCACGAAUGUGUUCAGUUGAAAAAUACCUUUAGAAAUAUAUAGUGCUCUCAUGAAUUCAUUGAUAAGGUGAUUUUUUAAGGAUUUUUUUUGAAUUUUAACCGAUUUUCCAUACUAAUUUCCAUAUAAACUUUGAAAUUUUUGGAGGUUCCGUAGACAACCGAUCGGUACCAAAAUUUGCACAAUUACUAAGGGCCAAUAGAGCCUGGUGGAGCUAAAAGUCAAAAAUUGAACCAAUCUAAGGUCCAUGCCUUCAAUUGGACCAAUUAAAAAAGAAUCCUCUCAUAUCCACUAGACAACAAGUUCCAUGGCGAUAUGACCGAGAACUCUAGUGAUAUGGGGUAACUCACUCUCUGUCAGAAUGCACUCACUCCCUGUCAGAAUGCACCGAAAACUAAAUAUCAGAAUGGCGGUCCGUGUGACCAUCCCAGAACACAAGCGAAUAUGUGAAUGGAACCACAAUUUUAAAAUCGAAUUUAUACACGCGAGCACAUUCCUCCCCAAGGUUGAGGGGUUUGACGCUAUUGCAAACAUCAUCAAGCAUAUCGCGUGCGUUAGUGCUACAGAACCUUUGACAGCCAAUUGCUUUAAAAUUUACGCCUCGAUAGUGGUGCAUCGAGGCGACCGAGAGGGCUUAAGCGCCUUUUUUUAUCGGUCGACUUCGUCAUCGUGCAUGGACUAAUUAAAUUAAUUUAAUAUUUAAAUUAAUUUAAUAAAUAUAUAAGUAGAAACCUAUUAGUUGUCGUUUUGUAAUAAUCGUAGUUUUUCGUACUAGUGUAUAAUUGCUAUGUACUAGUCGUGUGUAUGUGUUCGUCUUAGUAUUUGUGACAUUUGGGUCAGGGAAUGGAUGCGGAACUAGCAUAUAAUACUUCUGGUAUUCAAUUUGUGCAUUUGGUUCUAUUCUUUCGAGGUUAGAUUGGAUAAAUUAGGGUAUAAUGAAUUUACCGACGCACGUGAAUCAUCCAUUCCGGUCAGCACAGCAUGAUGAAAGUCUAACAAAAUGCGAUCGUCGUUAAUGGUGUUGAACGUGAUCAUGGAGUUCGGUAAUUUAUUUGUUUUCGUGACACUUAUUCAGGACUUUUUUUGGUAGAAUUGUUUACACCUGAUUUCCAUGAUAGUCCACCCUGGACACUAAUCCAGACACAUUAACCUGCCCAGAAACCAGUGUCAUGCAAACUCGUUCGGGUCCAAAUGCUUUCCGAGUUUCAAAGUUUUGCGAUCGUCUAAAUAUUUCAAAUUAAUGGUAACGAUAAACUUUGUCGGAUAGAAAAACUUUCAGUAUAGUAAUAGUCUGUAUCACCUGGCAAUCUGACUUCCUUGAAUAGCACAAACCGUUGUCAUUUUAUAUCCUUGCAUUAUGGAAAUUGUGCAAAACUCGGCAGGAUACGACCAGCACCGAGCUAUAUGACAAUUGGUAGUGGUCGAAAAAUGCAAGUGUUACUCCGGAGCUCCUAUUGAACCACUAAUAAUCUAAUCGUUGUACAAUUAUUUCGUGGUUAAUUUGUGUGGAAAUGAACCACUACGGCAGCCGAUACACGUCGUUCGCCUUUGCUAGUGGAGGGAUCGCUGGCAGAGGCGGUGCCCGAGGGGAACUGAGCAGUGGAAAUUUGAGCAGAAAGCUGAGUAGUCCGAUGGCAGAGUCGACACAGCUGGACAGCAGCGGUAUUCGGGGGAAUCUUUACGACAGUCCGGUACGACAGGUUGGAGUUAGGAAAAGAAGCCUACCUCUCCGUUGCAAAAUAGCAGGACAAAUUUUAGAAGCAGCUGAACGGCGUCCGGGUCCAGUAUGGAUCGAUUGAUUGAUCCUAAGAUUUACGCGGAUGUUCAGAGCCGAGGAUUGGUUAACCGGUUGGUAAAGUACCACGAUGAAACGCAAUCGCCGUUAAAUAAGAGUCAAUCGAUGACUAGCCUGUACUCGAAGCCGGGUCAAUUUCCUGUGUGGUGGAGGAGAAACAAUUCUUCGAUAGCUACCAUUGGUUCGGAGUUUCCCGUCAGAGAAGUCCGUGUUUCAGGCUGACACAAGGUGGAACAUUUUACGGGAGGGAUCGUUGCUCAUUCCGGCGGAACCUCAUCUGAAGAUGGUCCAAACACAUAGACACGAGGAUGAGAUUGAUGCGGAAAAUAGUGUGAUUGCGCCUUCAACAGAACUGGAUGCCGAUUGGAUUAAGAAACAAUGUAAGGAGGUUGAUUCAGGCGAAGCUGGUACGAAGCAAGCUCGGGAAAUUACAUACACGGCUUCGCCCCCGUGUCGAGGGUCGGCGAAUCAGCAGCUGCAGACGAAGAAAUUAUGUAGUAAAAAUAAUAUCUCAAGUUCACUUAGCUCGAGCCUAGUGAUGAACACUCCGAAAGUGGAACACGUAGCGCACCGACCGGCACGAUUAAAUGUGGAUGUCUUUCUCGACGCCGGCAACAUUGAAUGCGACGGUUCCAGUUAGCAUGAUUGAAUCGAGCAAGCCGGCAAAAUUAAGUAGGAUUGAUUCCGCUCCUUUGCCACAGAUUACGAGAAUUUUUCCGGAGUUUCAACUGCCUCUGAUGAAAUAUCCGCCACUAAAACUAACGUUUAACAAGAAAUAUAACGUCCAUGACAUGACGAAACGGUGGUUCGACCCCCGUCCACAGACAGUGAAGGAUGAUGAUGAUAAAGUAGGCGGACGAAUCAGUUUCAUUAAGCCAAAGGAUAAAUCGCCUAUUAUGAGCAAUGCCAAGGUUGUCCUGAAGAGGUUCGAGCGCUCGAAAUCAUCGUUGAUUCUGAGCUGCUUGAGUGAUGAUUUUGAUGAAGACGAGGAAUCGCCUAUAGUUAGGCCAUCGCAGGGUUCAUUUUAUACGAUAGACACCACGGAUGCACCACCGAAGGUUGAAGAGAAGAAACGGCUUCCGUCCCGAUAAUGAGCGGUAUUUCAGCAAUAGUUAAUAGCCCGAUCAAGGAUCCUGGCCUAGGUAAAAUUGAUCCAUCGAAACCGGUGGAAAAUGUAAAAACGAUAGAGCAACCGAAGUAACCCACGGGAUUUGCUUUCGGAAGUACAACUGCUACCGUCAGCUAGGCUCCGGUUACAGCACAUCAAACCGAUACAUAAUUUGCAUUUGGGACGCCCACUUAACCGGUUACUGCUAAAAUCAAAUCAUCGGAAAUACCACGUAUCGUUUUCCUGUGCUUGGAUUUCGAUACGUACGGAAUCGGACGGUAUUUAUCGCCGAUACCAUUUUAUCGGGAAAUAAUGCGAUUCGAGGUAUUAAUCACACGCCUACAUCAAAAAAUUAUAUACUUUGCAACUAAUAUUUUAAAAA